rnacentral:rRNA from 1 species
AACGCUGGCGGCAGGCCUAACACAUGCAAGUCGAACGGUAACAGGAAACAGCUUGCUGUUUCGCUGACGAGUGGCGGACGGGUGAGUAAUGUCUGGGAAACUGCCUGAUGGAGGGGGAUAACUACUGGAAACGGUAGCUAAUACCGCAUAACGUCGCAAGACCAAAGAGGGGGACCUUCGGGCCUCUUGCCAUCGGAUGUGCCCAGAUGGGAUUAGCUAGUAGGUGGGGUAACGGCUCACCUAGGCGACGAUCCCUAGCUGGUCUGAGAGGAUGACCAGCCACACUGGAACUGAGACACGGUCCAGACUCCUACGGGAGGCAGCAGUGGGGAAUAUUGCACAAUGGGCGCAAGCCUGAUGCAGCCAUGCCGCGUGUAUGAAGAAGGCCUUCGGGUUGUAAAGUACUUUCAGCGGGGAGGAAGGGAGUAAAGUUAAUACCUUUGCUCAUUGACGUUACCCGCAGAAGAAGCACCGGCUAACUCCGUGCCAGCAGCCGCGGUAAUACGGAGGGUGCAAGCGUUAAUCGGAAUUACUGGGCGUAAAGCGCACGCAGGCGGUUUGUUAAGUCAGAUGUGAAAUCCCCGGGCUCAACCUGGGAACUGCAUCUGAUACUGGCAAGCUUGAGUCUCGUAGAGGGGGGUAGAAUUCCAGGUGUAGCGGUGAAAUGCGUAGAGAUCUGGAGGAAUACCGGUGGCGAAGGCGGCCCCCUGGACGAAGACUGACGCUCAGGUGCGAAAGCGUGGGAAGCAAACAGGAUUAGAUACCCUGGUAGUCCACGCCGUAAACGAUGUCGACUUGGAGGUUGUGCCCUUGAGGCGUGGCUUCCGGAGCUAACGCGUUAAGUCGACCGCCUGGGGAGUACGGCCGCAAGGUUAAAACUCAAAUGAAUUGACGGGGGCCCGCACAAGCGGUGGAGCAUGUGGUUUAAUUCGAUGCAACGCGAAGAACCUUACCUGGUCUUGACAUCCACGGAAGUUUUCAGAGAUGAGAAUGUGCCUUCGGGAACCGUGAGACAGGUGCUGCAUGGCUGUCGUCAGCUCGUGUUGUGAAAUGUUGGGUUAAGUCCCGCAACGAGCGCAACCCUUAUCCUUUGUUGCCAGCGGUCCGGCCGGGAACUCAAAGGAGACUGCCAGUGAUAAACUGGAGGAAGGUGGGGAUGACGUCAAGUCAUCAUGGCCCUUACGACCAGGGCUACACACGUGCUACAAUGGCGCAUACAAAGAGAAGCGACCUCGCGAGAGCAAGCGGACCUCAUAAAGUGCGUCGUAGUCCGGAUUGGAGUCUGCAACUCGACUCCAUGAAGUCGGAAUCGCUAGUAAUCGUGGAUCAGAAUGCCACGGUGAAUACGUUCCCGGGCCUUGUACACACCGCCCGUCACACCAUGGGAGUGGGUUGCAAAAGAAGUAGAUAGCUUAACCUUCGGGAGGGCGCUUACCACUUUGUGAUUCAUAA